ensembl:rRNA 5_8S_rRNA 5.8S ribosomal RNA
AACUCUUAGCGGUGGAUCACUCGGCUCGUGCGUAGAUGAAGAACGCAACUAGCUGCGAGAACUAAUGUGAAUUGCAGGACACACUGACACUUCGAACGCAACUUGUGGCCCCGGGUUCCUCCUGGGGCUACACCUGUCUGAGGGUCG